rnacentral:rRNA from 1 species
GAUGAACGCUGGCGGCGUGCCUAAUACAUGCAAGUAGAACGCUGAAGGAGGAGCUUGCUCUUCUGGAUGAGUUGCGAACGGGUGAGUAACGCGUAGGUAACCUGCCUGGUAGCGGGGGAUAACUAUUGGAAACGAUAGCUAAUACCGCAUGACAACAGUUGUUGCAUGAUAACUGUUUAAAAGGGGCAACUGCUCCACUACCAGAUGGACCUGCGUUGUAUUAGCUAGUUGGUGAGGUAACGGCUCACCAAGGCGACGAUACAUAGCCGACCUGAGAGGGUGAUCGGCCACACUGGGACUGAGACACGGCCCAGACUCCUACGGGAGGCAGCAGUAGGGAAUCUUCGGCAAUAGACGGAAGUCUGACCGAGCAACGCCGCGUGAGUGAAGAAGGUUUUCGGAUCGUAAAGCUCUGUUGUAAGAGAAGAACGAGUGUGAGAGUGGAAAGUUCACACUGUGACGGUAUCUUACCAGAAAGGGACGGCUAACUACGUG